ACAGAUGAUGACUAAACAUUUCUUCACUUUGACCUGACAAAUGGCUGAAGAAACUAAAAAAAAUCUGAAU